UACGGAGGGGCGAGCGUUAUUCGGAAUUAUUGGGCGUAAAGGGCGCGUAGGCGGCUGUACAAGUCAAAGGUGAAAUCCCUCGGCUCAACUGAGGAACUGCCUUUGAAACUGUACGCUUGAGGCCGGGAGGGGUAGCGGAAUUCCCAGUGUAGCGGUGAAAUGCGCAGAUAUCAGGAGGAACACCGAUGGCGAAGGCAGGUCUCUGGGCCACUACUGACGCUGAGAAGCGAAAGCAUGGGGAGCGAACGGG
rnacentral:rRNA from 1 species